rnacentral:rRNA from 1 species
GCUAUUUAAAAGAAUAUAUAUUUAAGUUUUAUCCAGUUGUUUACCUGGGGCGGGAACCUUCAUUAGAGUAACGAGGGUAGACAAAGGCAUACUAAAAGUGAACUAUAAAGCUGUGCUUAACUGUGAGAAACACUAUUCAAGCAGAUGUAUAUCUAUAAGUUAAAAUCUAAAUUAUAUCUUAUGGAAAAGCAGGUAGUAAUGAACGGGUUUAUUUAAUUAAUAAAUCUAUCAACGGACAAAAGGUACGCCGGGGAUAACAUUUAAGUAUAAGUAAUGUCCCUGAUACAAGGAAUUGUAUUAUAUAAUAUUAGGUUAAAUUCAAGAAUAAUACAAAUAUAUAUAAUAAAGAGUGUUUAACUUGAAGCUAAAUUCUACCAUAGGCAAAUAUAAUGUGAAUGGUCUAUUAGUAUAGAAUAAGUUCAACGACUAAAAAACCUAACAACUCGGCUGAAUAGUUGAUGACAUAGUCUGAACUUAAUUAUUAAUAUUAAGACUAACAUUAUUGAACAGGCUUAUACGAAUAGAGAGUUCAUAUCGACAUUCGUGUUUGGCACCUCAACAUAUAGGGGUAAAUAUUGUAUCUAUUACAUACUUCUAUUUAGCUAUAUGCCGGAACAUUCCAACCGAGCACGUCCUCGCGCGGAGGCUCGUACGUGUCGGCCCGAGACUCGGAAUUUCGAGGGCGACUCGUACUAAAUAAAGAACAAUCGGCAGGAAAUAAACUUUUUAAACUUGGAAAGAUCCUCAACGACUAUACGCUAAACGUUAAAAAACAAUUUACGGUAAUAUAGUCUGAACUAUAAAGUAAUUAAUAGGAUAAUAUUUAUAGUUAUAACCUUUAUUAGCUGUGGUGUUUUUGAUUAAACUAUAAAUAUUAAUUAACAUUAUUGCGAUGUUGAAUCAUCGCGUCCUUGAGCUGUACAAGGUUCAAAGGGUUAGGGUGUUCACCUAUUAAAGCGGUACGUGAUUUGAGUUUACUAUGACGUUAGACUCAUUAUGCUAUUGUUGCAUAAAACUAAUUGGAUAAUAUUCAAGAAAAGUAUAUAUCUCUUAGGCGGAUUCCUGUAUACCAACUUGAAGCUAAAUCUAUAGACGCGUUUUAUCCAGUUCAAAUGAAAUAUAAAUUUGCCGUCCUAGACAGUUCAACGACUAAAUAUUCCAACAAUUUAUUUGCCAACCGAAUUACCCGAAGAAGAAAGGAGGUUUAAUCCGCUGUAUACAAUUAUAUUCUUUGAAAAAAUCGUCUAGGAAAAAAACCUUUAGGUAGUAAAAUUGAAGACAUAGUCUGUCCUUAAGAGGAAUUUUAAGAUUAACAUAGGGUACAACGUCGUGAGACAGUUGGGUUUCUAUCUUCUAACACACUUUUAUAACUACUAAGAGGUAAUAGUACGAAAGGACCCUUACCUCCAAACCCCUAGUUUAGUUAUUGUGAAUAGCAUUGUAACAAAGCUAAGUUUGUCGUAUAAAGAAGUAGUGAUAAAAUAAAUGCACAAAUGAUCUAGCGUAUUGUGUUUAGCAUAUACGUAUAGAACCUAUAAUAAUACU